rnacentral:rRNA from 1 species
GUGGGGAAUCUUGCGCAAUGGGCGAAAGCCUGACGCAGCCAUGCCGCGUGAAUGAUGAAGGUCUUAGGAUUGUAAAAUUCUUUCACCGGGGACGAUAAUGACGGUACCCGGAGAAGAAGCUCCGGCUAACUUCGUGCCAGCAGCCGCGGUAAUACGAAGGGGGCUAGCGUUGCUCGGAAUUACUGGGCGUAAAGGGCGCGUAGGCGGACAGCUUAGUCAGAGGUGAAAGCCCAGGGCUCAACCUUGGAAUUGCAUUUGAUACUGGCUGUCUUGAGUUUGGGAGAGGUGAGUGGAACUCCGAGUGUAGAGGUGAAAUUCGUAGAUAUUCGGAAGAACACCAGUGGCGAAGGCGACUCACUGGCCCAAUACUGACGCUGAGGCGCGAAAGCGUGGGGAGCAAACAGGAUUAGAUACCCUUGUAGUCC